rnacentral:rRNA from 1 species
GAUGAACGCUGGCGGCGUGCCUAAUACAUGCAAGUCGAGCGAACAGACGAGGAGCUUGCUCCUUUGACGUUAGCGGCGGACGGGUGAGUAACACGUGGAUAACCUACCUAUAAGACUGGGAUAACUUCGGGAAACCGGAGCUAAUACCGGAUAACAUGUUGAACCGCAUGGUUCAACAGUGAAAGACGGUCUUGCUGUCACUUAUAGAUGGAUCCGCGCCGCAUUAGCUAGUUGGUAAGGCAACGGCUUACCAAGGCAACGAUGCGUAGCCGACCUGAGAGGGUGAUCGGCCACACUGGAACUGAGACACGGUCCAGACUCCUACGGGAGGCAGCAGUAGGGAAUCUUCCGCAAUGGGCGAAAGCCUGACGGAGCAACGCCGCGUGAGUGAAGAAGGUCUCCGGAUCGUAAAACUCUGUUAUUAGGGAAGAACAAAUGUGUAAGUAACUAUGCACGUCUUGACGGUACCUAAUCAGAAAGCCACGGCUAACUACGUG